CCUACGGGAGGCAGCAGUGAGGAAUAUUGGUCAAUGGACGCGAGUCUGAACCAGCCAAGUAGCGUGAAGGAUGACUGCCCUAUGGGUUGUAAACUUCUUUUAUAAAGGAAUAAACCCAGACACGCGUGCCUUUCUGCAUGUAUCUUACGAAUAAGGAUCGGCUAACUCCGUGCCAGCAGCCGCGGUAAUACGGAGGAUCCGAGCGUUAUCCGGAUUUAUUGGGUUUAAAGGGAGCGUAGAUGGGUUGUUAAGUUAGAUGUGAAAGUUUGCGGCUCAACCAUGAAAUUGCGAUUGAUACUGGUAGUCUUGAGUGUAGUUGCGGUAGGCGGAAUGCGUGGUGUAGCGGUGAAAUGCUUAGAGAUCACACAGAACCCCGAUUGCGAAGGCAGCUUACUAAGCUAUGACUGACAUUGAUGCACGAAAGUGUGGGUAUCAAACAGGAUUAGAUACCCGGGUAGUC
rnacentral:rRNA from 1 species